rnacentral:rRNA from 1 species
GGGGCAGCGGGGAGGAAGCUUGCUUUCUCCGCCGGCGACCGGCGCACGGGUGAGUAACACGUAUGCAACCCGCCCCUGUCAGGGGGACAACCCGCCGAAAGGCGGGCUAAACCCGCGUACAUGCCACCGGGGCAUCCCGGAGGCAGGAAAGGCUUCGGCCGGACAGGGAUGGGCAUGCGGCGCAUUAGGCAGUAGGCGGGGUAACGGCCCACCUAACCGACGAUGCGUAGGGGUUCUGAGAGGAAGGUCCCCCACACUGGUACUGAGACACGGACCAGACUCCUACGGGAGGCAGCAGUGAGGAAUAUUGGUCAAUGGUCGGGAGACUGAACCAGCCAAGCCGCGUGAGGGAGGAAGGUACAGAGUAUCGUAAACCUCUUUUGUCAGGGAACAAAGGCGGGGACGUGUCCCCGGAUGAGUGUACCUGAAGAAAAAGCAUCGGCUAACUCCGUGCCAGCAGCCGCGGUAAUACGGAGGAUGCGAGCGUUAUCCGGAUUUAUUGGGUUUAAAGGGUGCGCAGGCGGUCUGUUAAGUCAGCGGUCAAAGCCCGGGGCUCAACCCCGGCCCGCCGUUGAAACUGGCAGUCUCGAGUUGGAGAGAAGUAUGCGGAAUGCGCGGUGUAGCGGUGAAAUGCAUAGAUAUCGCGCAGAACUCCGAUUGCGAAGGCAGCAUGCCGGCUCCACACUGACGCUGAGGCACGAAAGCGUGGGUAUCGAACAGGAUUAGAUACCCUGGUAGUCCACGCAGUAAACGAUGAAUGCUGGCUGUCCGGGGGGAUUGACCCCUGGGUGGCGAAGCGAGAGCGAUAAGCAUUCCACCUGGGGAGUACGCUGGCAACGGUGAAACUCAAAGGAAUUGACGGGGGCCCGCACAAGCGGAGGAACAUGUGGUUUAAUUCGAUGAUACGCGAGGAACCUUACCCGGGCUCAAACGGGGAGUGACUCAGGCAGAGACGCCUGUUUCCCACGGGACACUCCCCGAGGUGCUGCAUGGUUGUCGUCAGCUCGUGCCGUGAGGUGUCGGCUUAAGUGCCAUAACGAGCGCAACCCCCGCGUGCAGUUGCUAACAGAUAACGCUGGGGACUCUGCACGGACUGCCGGCGCAAGCCGCGAGGAAGGCGGGGAUGACGUCAAAUCAGCACGGCCCUUACGUCCGGGGCGACACACGCGUUACAAUGGGUGGUACAGCGGGAAGCCAGGCGGCGACGCCGAGCGGAACCCGAAAUCCACUCUCAGUUCGGAUCGGAGUCUGCAACCCGACUCCGUGAAGCUGGAUUCGCUAGUAAUCGCG